UUUUCAGACCUAUGCAAUUGCAGAUUAGGAUAAUGCUUCAGGGUGGGAACACAGCAGAGCAGCUUGAUUUGUGAUGUGCCUUAGCCAUCUGGGAAGGG
rnacentral:SRP_RNA from 1 species